GAUGAACGCUAGCGGCAGGCCUAAUACAUGCAAGCCGAACGGCAAGUUUGAUAGCAAUUUUGGACCUAGAGUGGCGCAAGGGUGCGUAACACGUAUGCAACCUGCCCGCGACAGGAGGAUAGCUCCCCGAAAGGGGAAUUAACCCUCCAUAACACCAUGAGAAGGCAUCUGAUUAUGGUUAAACCGCAAGGGGUCGCGGAUGGGCAUGCGGUUGAUUAGCUAGUUGGCGGGGUAAAGGCCCACCAAGGCGGGGAUCAAUAGGGGUUCUGAGAGGAAGGUCCCCAGCACUGGCACGGAGAUACGGGCCAUACGCCUACGGGAGGAAGCAGUAGGGAAGAUUGGGUAAUGGAUGCAAGACUGUGCCAGCCAUGCCGCGUGCAGGAAGAAGGCCGUGUGGGUCGUAAACUGCGUUUUCCUGUGGAUAAAAUACGCGAGCGCGGGGAAUUGAAGGUAACAGGUGAAGAAGCCACGGCUAACUACGUG
rnacentral:rRNA from 1 species